GAUGAAGAACGUAGCGAAAUGCGAUACGUAGUGUGAAUUGCAGAAUUUAGUGAAUCAUCGAAUCUUUGAACGCACAUGGCGCCCGCCGGCAAUCCGGCGGGCACGCCCGUCCGAGCGUCGCUUACACCUCCCUCGGGGGCCCGCACCGGUGGGCCCCCGGCAUUGGGCACCCGCGGCCACAUGGCCGCGGGCCCCGAAACACAGCGGCGGCAGCGCCCGUGGCGUCCCCUGCGUAGUAGCCACACCUCGCACCGGACCCCGCGCGCGGCCCGCCCUGCGGCCCUUGCGCCGUAGAACCACACCACAAGGUUGACCUCGGAUCGGGCGGGGCUACCCGCUGAACUUAAGCAUAUCAAUAAGCGGAGGA
rnacentral:misc_RNA from 1 species